GGGUAGGUAGCUCAAUUGGCAGAGCAGCGGUCUCCAAAACCGCAGGUUGCAGGUUCGAUCCCUGCCCGACCCGC
rnacentral:tRNA from 3 species